rnacentral:rRNA from 1 species
UUGAACGCUGGCGGCAUGCCUUACACAUGCAAGUCGAACGGUAACGGGCCUUCGGGUGCCGACGAGUGGCGAACGGGUGAGUAAUACAUCGGAACGUGCCCGAUCGUGGGGGAUAACGAGGCGAAAGCUUUGCUAAUACCGCAUACGAUCUACGGAUGAAAGCAGGGGACCGCAAGGCCUUGCGCGGACGGAGCGGCCGAUGGCAGAUUAGGUAGUUGGUGGGAUAAAAGCUUACCAAGCCGACGAUCUGUAGCUGGUCUGAGAGGAUGAUCAGCCACACUGGGACUGAGACACGGCCCAGACUCCUACGGGAGGCAGCAGUGGGGAAUUUUGGACAAUGGGCGCAAGCCUGAUCCAGCCAUGCCGCGUGCAGGAUGAGGGCCUUCGGGUUGUAAACUGCUUUUGUACGGAACGAAAAGCCUUCUUUUAAUACAGGAGGGUCAUGACGGUACCGUAAGAAUAAGCACCGGCUAACUACGUG